rnacentral:pre_miRNA from 1 species
AGUAAAAUUGCUGGGUCAUAUUGUAACUCUAUGUUUAACUUUUUGAGGAAUUGCCAGACUGUUUUCCAAAGCAGCUGCACAAUUUUUCAUUCCCACCAACAAA